AAAUUGAAGAGUUUGAUCAUGGCUCAGAUUGAACGCUGGCGGCAGGCCUAACACAUGCAAGUCGAGCGGAAACGAGUUAUCUGAACCUUCGGGGAACGAUAACGGCGUCGAGCGGCGGACGGGUGAGUAAUGCCUAGGAAAUUGCCCUGAUGUGGGGGAUAACCAUUGGAAACGAUGGCUAAUACCGCAUGAUGCCUACGGGCCAAAGAGGGGGACCUUCGGGCCUCUCGCGUCAGGAUAUGCCUAGGUGGGAUUAGCUAGUUGGUGAGGUAAGGGCUCACCAAGGCGACGAUCCCUAGCUGGUCUGAGAGGAUGAUCAGCCACACUGGAACUGAGACACGGUCCAGACUCCUACGGGAGGCAGCAGUGGGGAAUAUUGCACAAUGGGCGCAAGCCUGAUGCAGCCAUGCCGCGUGUGUGAAGAAGGCCUUCGGGUUGUAAAGCACUUUCAGUCGUGAGGAAGGUAGUGUAGUUAAUAGCUGCAUUAUUUGACGUUAGCGACAGAAGAAGCACCGGCUAACUCCGUGCCAGCAGCCGCGGUAAUACGGAGGGUGCGAGCGUUAAUCGGAAUUACUGGGCGUAAAGCGCAUGCAGGUGGUUUGUUAAGUCAGAUGUGAAAGCCCGGGGCUCAACCUCGGAAUAGCAUUUGAAACUGGCAGACUAGAGUACUGUAGAGGGGGGUAGAAUUUCAGGUGUAGCGGUGAAAUGCGUAGAGAUCUGAAGGAAUACCGGUGGCGAAGGCGGCCCCCUGGACAGAUACUGACACUCAGAUGCGAAAGCGUGGGGAGCAAACAGGAUUAGAUACCCUGGUAGUCCACGCCGUAAACGAUGUCUACUUGGAGGUUGUGGCCUUGAGCCGUGGCUUUCGGAGCUAACGCGUUAAGUAGACCGCCUGGGGAGUACGGUCGCAAGAUUAAAACUCAAAUGAAUUGACGGGGGCCCGCACAAGCGGUGGAGCAUGUGGUUUAAUUCGAUGCAACGCGAAGAACCUUACCUACUCUUGACAUCCAGAGAACUUUCCAGAGAUGGAUUGGUGCCUUCGGGAACUCUGAGACAGGUGCUGCAUGGCUGUCGUCAGCUCGUGUUGUGAAAUGUUGGGUUAAGUCCCGCAACGAGCGCAACCCUUAUCCUUGUUUGCCAGCGAGUAAUGUCGGGAACUCCAGGGAGACUGCCGGUGAUAAACCGGAGGAAGGUGGGGACGACGUCAAGUCAUCAUGGCCCUUACGAGUAGGGCUACACACGUGCUACAAUGGCGCAUACAGAGGGCUGCCAACUUGCGAAAGUGAGCGAAUCCCAAAAAGUGCGUCGUAGUCCGGAUUGGAGUCUGCAACUCGACUCCAUGAAGUCGGAAUCGCUAGUAAUCGUGGAUCAGAAUGCCACGGUGAAUACGUUCCCGGGCCUUGUACACACCGCCCGUCACACCAUGGGAGUGGGCUGCAAAAGAAGUAGGUAGUUUAACCUUCGGGGGGACGCUUACCACUUUGUGGUUCAUGACUGGGGUGAAGUCGUAACAAGGUAGCGCUAGGGGAACCUGGCGCUGGAUCACCUCCUUA
rnacentral:rRNA from 1 species